AGAGUUUGAUCAUGGCUCAGGACGAACGCUGGCGGCGUGCCUAAUGCAUGCAAGUCGAGCGAGCUACAGUCUUCGGACUGUAGCUUAGCGGCGAACGGGUGAGUAACACGUAGGUGAUCUACCCUUCAGAGGAGGACAACUUCAGGAAACUGAGGCUAAACCUUCAUACGUUCACUGGUAGGGAUACUGGUGAAGAAAGAGUUACCGUCAAGGUAGCUGCUGAAGGAUGAGCCUGCGGCCCAUCAGGUAGUUGGUGAGGUAAUGGCUCACCAAGCCGAAGACGGGUAACCGGUCUGAGAGGAUGUCCGGUCACACUGGGACUGAGACACGGCCCAGACUCCUACGGGAGGCAGCAGCAGGGAAUCUUGGGCAAUGGGCGAAAGCCUGACCCAGCGACGCCGCGUGGAGGAAGAAGUCCUUCGGGGCGUAAACUCCUGGACUGGGGGACGAGGAAGGACGGUACCCCAGUAGAAAGGGACGGCUAACUACGUGCCAGCAGCCGCGGUAAAACGUAGGUCCCGAGCGUUGUUCGGAUUCACUGGGUGUAAAGGGCGCGUAGGUGGUUGUCUGUGUCUCAUGUGAAAACUCAGGGCUCAACUCUGAGAUUGCGUGGGAAACUAGGCAGCUAGAGGACGGUAGAGGAGAGUGGAAUUCCCGGUGUAGCGGUAAAGUGCGUAGAUAUCGGGAGGAACACCGGUGGCGAAGGCGGCUCUCUGGGCCGAUCCUGACGCUGAGGCGCGAAAGCUAGGGGAGCGAACCGGAUUAGAUACCCGGGUAGUCCUAGCCGUAAACGAUGGGUGCUAGGUGUUGGGGGGUAAAGACCCUUCAGUGCCGAAGCCAACGCGAUAAGCAUCCCACCUGGGGAGUACGGCCGCAAGGUUGAAACUCAAAUGAAUUGACGG
rnacentral:rRNA from 1 species